rnacentral:ncRNA from 1 species
UUUUUAUUUAAGGUAAAGUUUGAUUCUUGCUUUUCUUUUUAUUUUUUUUUGUUUUUACAUGUAAGUUUUUGCGUGGUGAGGUAUUAUUUUUAUAUGAUUUAUAUUUAGAUAAUUUGCAGUAUUUAAUUUUGUUUAUGAAGGUUAUUUUGAUUUAGAUAAAAAAAUUUAGUUUUGACUAAUAUUGUGCCAGCAGUUGCGGUUAUACAAUAGGGGCAAGUAAAUUUUAUUGGAUUAUAUUAUUUAUUUUUUUUGUGUUUAUUUUGUAUUUUUUUAGGUGAAAUUUAAAUUUAUAUUAAGACAUUGGUUUAUUAUUAUAUGAAAAUUUUUUUAAGACUAGGAUUAGAUACCCUAUUAUUUUGAUCGUAAAUUUUUAUCCUUAAUAUUAAUAGUUAUGUUCUUUAAAUUUAAAGAAUUUGGCGGUAAUUUAAUCUUUCCAGAGGAACCUGUUAUGUAAUUGAUAUUCCCCGUUGAAUUUUACUUUAUUUUUUUUUGUAUACCUCUGUCAAUGAAUGUCUUAUAAGAGUUUAUUUUCUUAAAUUUUUAUGAAUAAAAUGUCAGGUCAAGGUGCAGAUAUAUUAAAGUAUAAAUGGGUUACAGUAAAUUUAUUUAUGGGAAAAAAUAUGGAAAUUUUUUUGAAAUUGGAUUUGGGUGUAAUUUUCUUUAGAAAAGGAAUUUGAUCAAAGCUCUAAGUUAUGUACAUAUCGCCCGUCACUCUCAUUACUAAGGUGAGAUAAGUCGUAACAAAGUAGGCCUACUGGAAAGUGGGCCUAGAAUUAUU